GAUGAAGAACGUAGCGAAAUGCGAUAAGUAGUGUGAAUUGCAGAAUUCAGUGAAUCAUCGGAUCUUUGAACGCACAUUGCGCCCGCCAGUAUUCUGGCGAGCAUGCCUGUUCGAGCGUCAUUUCAACCAUCAAGCCCCAGGCUUGUGUUGGAGCCCUGCGGCUGCCGCAGCCUCCCAAAACCAGUGGCGGGCUCGCUAUCACACCGAGUGCAGUAGUUUACUCUUCGCUCAGGGCGUGUGGCGGGUGCUAGCCGUGAAACCCCCAACUUCUCAAGGUUGACCUCGGAUCAGGUAGGAAUACCCGCUGAACUUAAGCAUAUCAAUAAGCGGAGGA
rnacentral:misc_RNA from 1 species